rnacentral:rRNA from 1 species
UACGAAGGGUGCAAACGUUGCUCGGAAUUAUUGGGCGUAAAGCGCACGUAGGCGGCUUGGCAAGUCGGAUGUGAAAUCCCUCGGCUCAACCAAGGAAGUGCAUCCGAAACUGCUGAGCUUGAGUACUUAAGAGGGUCGCGGAAUUCCCGGUGUAGUGGUGAAAUGCGUAGAGAUCGGGAGGAACACCCGUAGCGAAGGCGGCCGACUGGACCACACCUGACGCUGAGGCGCGAAGGCCAGGGGAGCGAACGGG